GGGGACGUGGCGAAAUUGGCAGACGCGCCAGCUUGAGGUGCUGGUGUCCAAAAGACGUAAGGGUUCAAGUCCCUUCGUCCCCACCA
rnacentral:tRNA from 1 species